GUCCACGCCGUAAACGAUGGGUACUAGGUGUAGGAGGUAUCGACUCCUUCUGUGCCGCAGUUAACACAAUAAGUACCCCGCCUGGGGAGUACGGUCGCAAGAUUAAAACUCAAAGGAAUUGACGGGGGCCCGCACAAGCAGCGGAGCAUGUGGUUUAAUUCGAAGCAACGCGAAGAACCUUACCUAGACUUGACAUCUCCUGAAUAGCCAAGAGAUUGGUGAAGCCCUUCGGGGCAGGAAGACAGGUGGUGCAUGGUUGUCGU
rnacentral:rRNA from 1 species